UACGGGGUGUGCAAGCGUUAUUCGGAAUUAUUGGGCGUAAAGGGCGCGCAGGCGGUUGAAUAAGUCAGGUGUGAAAGCCCUUGGCUUAACCAAGGAAGUGCAUUUGAUACUAUUUGACUUGAGUAUGGGAGAGGGAAGUGGAAUUCCUGGUGUAGAGGUGAAAUUCGUAGAUAUCAGGAGGAACACCGGUGGCGAAAGCGACUUCCUGGACCAAUACUGACGCUGAGGCGAGAAGGCGUGGGGAGCAAACAGG
rnacentral:rRNA from 1 species